AACGCACAUUGCGCCCCUUGGUAUUCCGGGGGGCAUGCCUGUUCGAGCGUCAUUACAACCCUCAAGCUCUGCUUGGUCUUGGGCGUCACCGGUCCCCGGUGUGCCUUAAAAUCAGUGGCGGCGCCACCUGGCUCUAAGCGUAGUACAUCCUCUCGCUAUAGACGUCCGGUGGAUGCUGGCCAGCAACCCCCCAUCUAUCAAGGUUGACCUCGGAUCAGGUAGGGAUACCCGCUGAACUUAA
rnacentral:misc_RNA from 1 species